GAUGAACGCUAGCGGCAGGCUUAACACAUGCAAGUCGAGGGGUAUAGUAGCAAUACUAGAGACCGGCGCACGGGUGCGUAACGCGUAUGCAAUCUACCUUUUACAGAGGGAUAGCCCAGAGAAAUUUGGAUUAAUACCUCAUAGUAUAUUUGAGUGGCAUCACUUGAUUAUUAAAGUUCCAACGGUAAAAGAUGAGCAUGCGUCCUAUUAGCUAGAUGGUAAGGUAACGGCUUACCAUGGCUACGAUAGGUGGGGGUCCUGAGAGGGAGAUCCCCCACACUGGUACUGAGACACGGACCAGACUCCUACGGGAGGCAGCAGUGAGGAAUAUUGGACAAUGGGCGCAAGCCUGAUCCAGCCAUGCCGCGUGCAGGAAGAAGCAUCUAUGGUGUGUAAACUGCUUUUGUACGGGAAGAAACACUCCUUCGUGAAGGAGCUUGACGGUACCGUAAGAAUAAGGAUCGGCUAACUCCGUGCCAGCAGCCGCGGUAAUACGGAGGAUCCAAGCGUUAUCCGGAAUCAUUGGGUUUAAAGGGUCCGUAGGCGGUUUGGUAAGUCAGUGGUGAAAGCCCAUCGCUUAACGAUGGAACGGCCAUUGAUACUGCCAGACUUGAAUUACUAGGAAGUAACUAGAAUAUGUAGUGUAGCGGUGGAAUGCUUAGAUAUUACAUGGAAUACCAAUUGCGAAGGCAGGUUACUACUAGUGGAUUGACGCUGAUGGACGAAAGCGUGGGGAGCGAACAGGAUUAGAUACCCUGGUAGUCCACGCCGUAAACGAUGGAUACUAGCUGUUCGGAGCAAUCUGAGUGGCUAAGCGAAAGUGAUAAGUAUCCCACCUGGGGAGUACGUUCGCAAGAAUG
rnacentral:rRNA from 1 species